rnacentral:tRNA from 1 species
GGAGAGAUGCCGGAGCGGUCGAACGGGCUGGCCUGGAAAGUCAGUAUAGGCGCAAGCCUAUCGAGGGUUCGAAUCCCUCUCUCUCCGCCA